AGGGAUCGAACGCGCGCCCCCUGCAUUUGAAGUGAGGAGUCUUAACCACUGGACCGCCAGGGAAGUCCCCCUUAAUAAUUCUUAAAAGGUUCCUGUUACAUGUUUAUAACCAUCAAGUAAAAUGUGGAUUCCAUUUUGAGUUGGGCACUUGCGUAAAGCUGAGGAGUAAGUAAAGACAAGACUUAGUUCUGAUUUGAGCUAGUCGUUUAGUCAUCGAGUGAUGCCUUACAAUGGCUGUGGGGUUCUGACAACAUACCCCCUUUCUGUGAUGUGGAAGGCCUGGAGAGAAGGAUGUUUGUUGGAACCACGGUAUUCCCUGGCAGAGGGAGGUGAUCGAGGCUAAUCUCUGUGAUUUAGAAUUGGUGGUCAUGGCCACACCUCUUUCCUGUAGUUAACUUUUUUUCUUCUUAAGUAAAAUUUUAUUGAGUGUUUGGAUAGGUAAUAUAGGCAUGUGGUACAACAUUAAAAGAUGCAAAAGGGUAUGUAGUAUAAAAAGGAGAGUUCUCCUGCCUUCGUAGCCUUCCAUUUCCCCUCCCUGGAGACAACCAUUUUUACUAGUUUCUUCUGUGUAUGAUGACACUGGCUUCCAAAGGAGUAUCUGACCUGUCGUACUUUAGAAUGGCAGGAAGCUGAAUGACUCACUUUCAGACAUUUCUUUUUUCCUUUCGUGAAGCUUUGGCAUUCCAUCUUCUCAGGACCUUUCCUAUGGCACGUCUCGUAAUUUGCUUUUUUUACUUUAUCAUGACAUUUUCCUAUGUUUUUAUGGUCUUUCAGUUUUUAAGAACUGGCUUUGGUAUCUGUUUUAGAGAUGAUUACAAGCUAAUGUUUGUGAAAGUGUCUGGCACAUAAUAGUCGGUCGAUAAAUAUUUCCUUUUAUCUUGUCCCUUCUCUCCCUCCCACUUGGUGUGUAUAAAACAAAAAAUAAGACAAAAAAAAUUUGUGAACCAGACAAUGCAGUGGAUUCCAAAAUUAAGAUUAAGCUUGUGUGAGUUGUAAUAUUUCUUGGUGAACCCAUUCAUUUGAGUAGAAAUACAUUAUUUUCUUUCUUUUAAUUCACUUUGCCUCAGCUAUUAAAAAAAAAUUCUUCAAGUCUAGACUUGGUUUUUUCCCUAAUGUAGUUUUGUUAGGUUGACUAUGUAAACCCAGACAUACAGGGUAGAAACUUGUAAGAAAGCUUUUUGAACUUAUCUUUGCAGAAUGUUGCUCAUCGCCGUGGUGGAUACUGAUGUGUGCCCUGGGUCUGGACUUAGGGUUUCUCACCUGUGCUGUUCUUACAGCGAGUCCUCUUAGGUGACUUCAUGUCCUCGUGGUUAAGGCAUACAGACGUAGUGGCUUUUUGUUAGGUGCAUUAAAAAACCCAAGUAUUUUAAUCCUAAUCUAGGACUGGUUUACUUCCACUUGGAGCUAAUUUAUAUUAAACUUUCUAGGGAGGUUAGGUUGUCUUUGCUUCAGGAUAAGAUUGUAUAACACAGAGGUGUUGUGAGGAUUAGUUAGUUAAUGGCUUCUGAAGAUGAAAAGAAUUUUCAUAAUUGGUAUAUAAUUAAAAUGUCUGUCAUCACCCUGGAAAAGCUAUCUGGAGUAUAAAACAAAACUUUCAAUCUUACGCAUCCUUUUUGAUAUUAGAAAAUUUGAUUUAUUUAUCUAGUGGAUUUUAAACAUUACAUGUUUGCCCAUAAGAUCUGUUAUUAAGGAUAAAUUUUUUUAAAAAACAUUUAUUUAUUAAUUUAUGUAUUUGGCUGCGCGGGAUCUUUGUUGCGGCACACAGGAUCUUUUUCUUUUAAUAUAAAUUUAUUUUAUUUUUGGCUGCCUUGGGUCUUUGUUGCAGUGCGCGGGCUUCUCAUUGCGGUGGCUUCUCUUGUUGCGGAGCACGGGCUCUUGGUGCGUGGGUUUCAGUAGUUGUGAUUCACGGGCUCUAGAGCACAGGCUCAGUAGUUGUGGCACACGGGCUUAGUUGCUCCUCAGCAUGUGGGAUCUUCCCGGACCAGGGAUUAAACCUGUGUCCCCUGCAUUGGCAGGCGGAUUCUUAACCACUGCGCCACCAGGGAAGCCCAGCACAUGGGAUCUUUAGCUGCAGGAUACGGGAUCUAGUUCCCUGACCAGGGAUCGAACCCGGGCCCCCUGCAUUGGGAGCGCAGAGUCUUAACCACUGGACCACCAGGGAAGUCCCAAGGAUAAAAUUUUAACUAGGCAGUUUGUCAUUGCAUUGCUUCUCUGAAACAAAUGCAAGGUUUUUCUUUCUGAUGAGUGAUCUUUUUAAAAAUGAGCUGCAAACUGUAGUUUUGACGUUUUCUUAUGUUUAUUGCACUAAUUCUGGGAGUUUUUAGGGUGUUACUUUCUCAGAAACAGAGUGGCUACCAAUCCUUCUCCCCUUCCUGUACACUAUAGAUUAUCAGAUCCCUCACCCAGUUUUCCUUAAUGUUAACCUCUUACAUUAAUCAUACAUUAUAUCACAGUAUCAAAACUAAGAAGCCAACACUGGUACAUUACUGUUAACUAAGCUGUAUCCUUUAUUCAGAUUUCACGAGUUUUCCCAUUAAUGUGCUUUUUCUGUUCCAGCAUCUAGUCCAGGUCUCCACACUGCAUUGAAUUGUCCUGCCUCCCCAGUCUCCUCUGGUCUGUGACAGUUUGUCAGUCUUUCCUUGUUAUUCACUAUCUUGAGAGUUUUGAGGAGUUUUAUAGAAUAUCCCUGAAUUUACCUGACCUUUUUCUACAAUUAGGCUGGGGUUAUGGGUUUGGGGAAGGAUCUGCAGAGGCAAAGUGCCCUUCACAUCUCAUCGUAUUGGAGAGGGGGGUGGUGGUGUACAUGCUAGAAUCAUGCGAUGAAACAUGCAAAGUUAACCUUGAUUGCCUGGCCAAGGUAAUGUUAACCAGGUAUCUCUCCUGUGAAGUUACUCCCACCCUCUUUCCUGCUCUAUUCUUUGGAAUCAAGUUACUAAGUCCAGCCCACAUGCGAGUGGUGGGGAAUCAAGCUCCACCUCCUGGAGAAAGGGAGUAUUUCCAUAAAUUAUUUGAAAUUCUGCAGGGAAGCCACUUUUUCUAGGAAAUAGCUUCUUUGCCCAUUUUUCUGUUGGCUUUUUGGGUUUUUAAUUUGACUUUUAAAAGAAGUGCUUUACAUAGGAUCUUCAUAAAUAUUUGGAUAAAUUAUUGAACUUAGCUAUUUGCAUAUAAACAAGUUGUUUGUUUUGUUGAUAGAAAGUUAUGAGAUCUCUACUAUCAAAACAAACGUAUCUUCUUCUCAUCAGCAUUUAUAAGCAGGCAGCUAGGUACCAGAAUCAUCACAGUCCAAAUUCCUGUGAAGUGCCACAGAAUACCAGGACACAAGGAACCACGCUCGUUUCUUAAGCACGAAAGUCUGGACGGGAUGCGAUCAAGUUUGAUUGAGAGCCGUGGGCUGAAACUGUGAAGGACGUCCCUGGUGGCACAGUGAUUAAGAAUCUGCCUGCCAAUGCAGGAGACACGGGUUUGAGCCCUGGUCUGGGAAGAUCCCACAUGCCAUGGAGCAACUAAGCCCGCGAGCCACAACUACUGAAGCCUGCUUGCCUAGAGUCCGUGCUCUGCAACAAGAGAAGCCACCGCAAUGAGAAGCCCGCAUAAUGAGAAGCCCGCAUAAUGCAACGGAGAGUAGCCCCCUCUCACUGCAACUAGAGUAAGCUCGUGCGCAGCAACAAAGACCCAACGCAGCCAACAAUAAAAAAAUAAUAAUAAUAAAUUUAAAAAAAAAUAAAACCACAGUGAAAAGUCUUAUUUUUAAUUUGGUUUCAUGCAUUCUGGAACCUAGCUUGUUUUAAGUGUAGACGUUUAACCUUUUGGGUGCAAAGUGCUUUUGCCCUGCUCUUGGGUCCAAUUAGAUUAAUGACAUUAUAGUCAUAGAAAUUAUGUCUACUUUAUAUAUGUUAUAUUUCUAGCAGUGCUUUUUUUUUUAGACUCUCUGUGGGACCAGGAAUGUCCAUAUUUUUUUCAAAGGGAUAAAGCACUGUAAAGAGAGAUUGCGGAGGCAGGAAUCUAAUGAAGUCCUCACAAAUCUGGAUUAGUUAUGGAAUAGUUGGUAAUAAUUUUAAAGGUUUUUAAAAAUUUGAUCCAUAGUGCUGUUUUUCAAUUCCACCAAAAGACUGGAUAUUCAUUCCUUUUUCUUUCAUUAAACUACGUCAGUGGCUUUAUACUCUCAGCAUCCCCUAACCUCAUAAGACAUCAGAUGGAAGGAAAUAAUUUCUCAUUAAGAAAAAUUUAGUAAACGAUUUAAUCAUUUACUAAGUGUUAAGCUGUGGGAAAAGCACUGGGGAGAGAGCACCUCCAAGGACAGAGGGUGCUCUUUUUAGAAGUAAGCACAGGAGAGGCAGGUAAGGCAGAAGAAGAUAAUCAGCUGUAUCAGGGUUUUAGUAUACAUGUAGUAAUGUUUAUGGAAACAUAAUCUUAAUUGGACAUGCAUUGUUUUGUAUUGGAUGAUUCAGUAACAUGCAGUGCUUCUUGUAGUCUGCUCUGUUUUACUUGAUGUAUUGUUUCCCCAUGUCAUUAAAUGUACUUUUUAAAAAACUUCUUUUUUUUAUUUUAUAAAGUUACUUAUUUGUUUAUUUUUGGCUGCAUUGGGUCUUUAUUGCUGUGGGCGGGCAAUAAAUAAAUAUUUAUAAAUAAAUAAAUAGAUUCAUCCAUGUUAUUGGAAAAAAAAACAAAAACAUGGGUAUAAUGUUAAAGAUGUGUGCUCAGCUAGUGGUUCAGUGAUUGAAGUUUUCCUUGGGCCGUGGAGAAGUGGGGAUGAUGCUGGGAACAUCGUGUUGUAGGAUAAACCGUCCCUGUGUAUUUCUCAUGAUGGUGGUGUGUCACCAUUAGUCAGACUGUGGUUAGAGGGUUUUUUUCCUUCUUGGAGUGCUUAGUGGUACAACAGCAGUAGUCCUGCCCAUUCUAAUGAGUGUGCCUUUGUGACAUUGAGUUUAAGAGAAAUAGGGGGACCCAGAGCACAAAACUUUUCACUGUGAAAUUAAUUGGUGUUUGAAGUGUUUUGUCCCUCUCUGUUUCAGAUUAAGGAUUAUAUAUAUUGUGACAUUGGUGUUAAAUAAUGUGUUUGUUAGGUUGAAGCAUGGAAGGAAAGUCUGUUUCCUCUAGAGACUGAUUCUGAGUUCAAGACACAUGUAGGUCAGAGAGAAUGAGAGAAAACAUGAUGUUUUUAAUCAGAAAGGAACCAAGUACACAAGUGGAGUUUCUAGUGUAGAGUUUACUUCAGUAGCAUUGAUAAGAACCUAAAUUCCUUGAGGAAUCAGGAGAGGGACAGAGAUCAGGAUUGGCUGGACUCAGGUUACUGGACAGGAUGCAACCAGUUCUGAGGAAAGUAUUCACCCAGCUCAUCAGCUUGGAACAUUGUACAUCAUUGUAUGUUUUGAAAUGACCUUCCUGUCGGGCUAUACUCUCGUCCCCUCUGUUCUGAGGAGAGGUACAGGAGAGGGAGGGGAGGCCUGCGCUCUAGAGGCCAGAGGUCAACGUACCACUCCCUUCUAAAACUUUCCAUUAGUUGGCCACCUAACUUGUUACUUUAUGCAUACUAAUUUAUUCAGCUUUUAUGAAGCACCAGUCAUGUGCCAGACAGUGAAGACACAGAGGUCACCGAAGAGAAUAAGUGCUAUUAUUUAUUAUUAUUAAGUGUGCACCAGGUACUUAACAUGUGCCCUUCCAAAUCCUCAGAGAAGCCCAGGCUCUAGUAUGCACAUCCUCUCCGUUUUCCACGCGGCUCCGUGAAGCUGAGUUCAUCACCCAGCAGCGCAGUGGCUGAGUGGGGAUUCAGUCUCAGAUGGGAGCCCAGAUAAGGGCCCUCGUAUGAAAAGAUUCAAACAUACGGUAAAACAAUUCUUAUCUCAUAGGGUUGUUUUGUGCAUUAUAUGACACAGACACGUAAAGUACUUUAGCCCUGUUUCUGGCACAUAGUAAUAGGUAAUAAUUAGAUCUUACUGAGCCCAAAACCACUAGUAAUAAUUACUACCAGUAAUAAUUGAGUUUUACGUACAAAGUCUACAGCAGCAUGCAUCUUUAUGCAAACCAUUAAUAAGAGUCUAAGCUGUGAUAGAGGCUGUCCCCAAAGUUAAUGGGAGUGGUGAGGGGGUGGACCGCUAACCGGCCUGGGAGAGUUAGAGCAAACUUCCCGAAGAUGGUGACCCUGGGGCUGUCUUACAGAAUUAGUAGCAGUUAGCUGGUGGGAAAAGAUAGGGAGGGACAUGGCAGUGAGAAGGAAGUGGUAAGAGGAAAGACGUGGGAAAGUAGAAAGGCACAGUAAUGCAGUUACCACGUGGGCGAUGAUGAAUCGUGAGAAUGGGACAUGGGAUUAGAAAGAUAGGCUGGCCAGAUUGUGCAAGGCCUUGGAAUGCCAUGGGUUUUAGCCUAAAGACAAUGGGGAAGCUGUGGAAGGAUUUUUUUUUCAAAGUAAAGUUUUUACUUUAGAAUAGUUUCAGAUUUACAGAAGUUACAAAGAUAGUACAGAGAGUUCCCACAUACCCAACACCCCAUUUCCACUGUUACUGUCUUACAUUAGUAUGGUACAUUUGUUACAAUGAAUGAACCAGUAUUGAUUCAUUAUUAUUACCUGAAGUCUAUCAUUUAUUCAGAUUUCCUUGUUUUUACUUCCUUAAUUUUACUUUUUCUGUUCCAAGAUCCCAUCCAAGAUACCACAUUACAUCUAGUUGCCAUGUCUCCUUAGACUCCCCUUGGCUGUGAUGGUUUCUUUUUCUUUUUUUUUUUUUUUUGUGGUACGCGGGCCUCUCACUGUUGUGGCCUCUCCCGUAGACGCGCAGGCUCAGCGGCCAUGGGUCACGGGCCCAGCCGCUCCACGGCAUGUGGAAUCUUCCCAGACCGGGGCAUGAACCCGUGUCCCCUGCAUCGGCAGACGGGCUCUCAACCACUUCGCCACCAGGGAAGCCCAAUUUUAUUUAUUUAUUUAUCUGUUUGUGCCAGGUCUUAGUUGCGGAAUGCAUGUGGGAUCUAGUUCCCUGACCAGGGAUCGAACCCGGGCCCCCUGCAUUGGGAACGCGUAGCCUUAUCCACUGCACCACCAGGGAAGUCCCUCUUUUUCUUUUUUAAAUUUUAUUGGAGUAUAGUUGAUUUCCAAUGUUGUGUUAGUUUCAGGUGUACAGCACAGUGAUUGUUAUACAUUUACAGAUACUCAUUUUUUUUCAGAUUCUUUUCUCAUAUAGGUUAUCACAGAAUGUUGAGUAGUUCUUGAGUAGAGUUCCCUGUGCUAUUAUACAGUAGGUCCUGGUUGGUUAUCUAUCUUAUAUAUAGUAGUGUGUGUGUGUUAAUCCCAAGCUCCUGAUUUAUUCCUACACCCCCCCCCCCCCCGCUGCCAUGUUUCCCCUUUGGUAAUCAUAGGUUUGUUUUUGACAUCUCUAAGUCUGUUUCUGUUUUGUAAAUAAGUUCAUUUGUGACGGUUUCUUAAGACUUUCUUGUUUUUGGUGACUGGCAGUUUUGAGGAGUACUAGUCAGGAUUUUGGUAAAAUGUUCCUUGGUUGGGAUUGCUCUGAUGUUUUUCUAAUGAUUUUGGGAGGAAGACCCAGAGGUAAAAGGCCAUUCUCAUCACCUCACAUCAUAGAGGGCACAUACUGUGAACACGACCUAGUUGCUGUUGCUGUUGACUUUGUCCCUGGCUGAGGUAGUGCUUGCCAGGGUUCUCCACUGUGAAGUUUGUCACCCUCCCCACCCCUUCCAUACUGUCCUCUUUUGAAGGAAGGCACUAUGUGCAGUCCACACUUAAGGAUUGGAGAGUUGUGGUCCAUCACUAUGGAAGGAUUUUAAACACUGGAGUGAUUUGCUCUGAUUUGAUGUAGAAAGAUUGAUCUAGCCAGAGACUGGAGAGACUGAAUUUGCGGAUAGGUCUGUGUGUUGGGUCUUCGUUAGCUGGAUCCCUUAAGACAAGACAAGACAAGACAAGACAAGACGAGAAAAGAUGAAGGCCUGAACUUAUGGCAGUGGCAGUGGGGUUGGAGAGGGAGUGAUUGAUUUGAGAAAAGUUGAGGCGGUUCAGUGGGGAACUGGUAGAGGGGAUGGGUGUGCAGGGAUCUGGCUGGGGGUUGGCGACUCAUCAAGGGCACACACUGUCUACAUGACUAAUACUUGUUGAAGCUGACUUUCAUCACCUGGCUGAAGAAGGUUUGUCAGGUUUCUCAUCAAAUUUAGGAGAACUUGUGCAAAGUUUGAGUUUUUAAGCAGUUUAUUACGUUCCUAUGCUUAUUGUAGAUUUUAAUUCCAGAGAGCUGAGUGAAAAUUAUAUAUUUAUUUAUUCCAGUUUAAACUUGUAGCAUUUAAAAAGGAAGAGCCUAGGGGAGAGAGAGCCAGACAAAGAAGUAUAUACUUCAAUGGGAGAAAGAUACAAGUAUUUAAAUACCAAAAUUGUUUCUGACUUCUUUGCUGUAUAUAGGACAAACCGUUGUCAUUUGAGAAUUCUCAAGCCUUUAACUUAAGCGUUAAAAUACUUAAUGGGAGAAUUUUAUGAGGAGGAAAAAUGUUCCUUUUUUUUUUUUGGCUUGUGGUAUCUCAGUUCCGCAACCAGGGAUUGAACCCGGGCCACAGCAGUGAAAGCCUAGAAUCCUAACCACUAGGCCAGCAGGGAACUUGCGGAAAAAUGUACUUUUUACUCUAGCUUUUGAUCUGUCUUUAUACUUCUGAUAAUUUAUGGUGUCUCUAAACUCUGGGCAGUGUCCAUAAGGGCUCACAUCAUGGCCCUGGAAUCUCUUGCUCAGGUUUGACUCUCAGCUCCACUGGUCACAGGUGUGAUCUUGGGCAAGUUACUUCAUCUUUCUAUGCCUUAAUUUUCUCAUCUGUAACAUGGGAAUAGUGAUAGUACCUACCUCAGAAGGUUGUUAGGAAGAUUAAACGAGCUAAUGCAAGUAAGUGCAAGUAAUGCAAGUAAUGCAAGUAAAUGCACAGUGCCUGGUACAUAGUAAGCAUACAUGUCAGUUAUAACGACAGUGAUGAUAUUAUACUGUUGCUUUUCAGGUUGAUUACAUUUCUUUCUGAAUGCCCCAAAUCAGAAGCCAAAAAUUUUGGACUCACAAAAUUAUUUUUGGUCCCUAACCUAAAUUUAACAUAAGGUUACAUUUGUGGAUGCUUAGCUUCUCAGGAUAUAGUGAAAGUAUGGAUGGCAAAUUAGUACAUUUAGAAAUAAGAACUACCAAUAUUUAAAGCUUUAUUCCUUUGUUACUUUCUUCCUUCCACUGAUGAGUAAUCUAUCCUACCGUGUAUUUGGAUUCCAUGUGACUUUUUUGGGCCUCUCACUGCUGUGGCCUCUCCCGUUGCGGAGCACAGGCUCCGGACGCGCAGGCUCGGCGGCCAUGGCUCACUGGCCCAGCCGCUCCGCGGCAUGUGGGAUCCUCCCGGACCGGGGCACGAACCCGUGUCCCCUGCAUCGGCAGGCGGACUCUCAACCACUGCACCACCAGGGAAGCCCCCGAAUUUAACUUUUAAAGCAAACAAAGCAGCCAUCUUAUUUAUGAGAGCUAAUUUGAGAUUAAGGUGGUUUGAUAAUAUGGAGAUAUUAGUGUGGAUAUAAUGACCCUAUAGCACUCUGUACAGGAUUAUAAUUUUUUUUAAACCCUGAACUCCCCGAUCGUUUUGGGGGAGUCUUUUUUUUUUCCCCCACACCACGUGGCAUUCGGGAUCUUAGUUCUCCGACUGGGGAUGAACCCACAUCCCUUGCCGUGGAAGCACGGACUCUUAAACACUGGACUGCCAGGGAAGUCCCAGGAUUAUAAUUUUUUAACUUCAGUUUUCUUGUCAGGAACUUGAGCAAGGAGGUAGCAUUUGAUUGAUUGGUAGGUAGCAUUUGAUUGAUAAGGUAGCUUAUUAUGCCAUUACUGCCAUUUUCUUUCUUUUUUUUUUUGGCCAUGCCGUGUGGCUUGCAGGAUCUUAGUUCCCCAGGUAGGGAUUGAACCUGGGCCCUCGGCAGUGAGGGCACCGAGUCCUAACCACUGGACUGCCAGGGAAGUCCUGUGUCCACUUUUUUGAUUCCUAAAAUUAUUUAUACCUUCUCUUAUUUUUCUUUAUCAGAUUCUGCAGAGAUUAGUCUCUUGGGGGUUUUUUUUGGCUUUGUUAAUCCCCUUUUUAUAUCUUUGUUUCCUGUUUCAUUCAUUUCUGCUGUUCAUUGCCUGCCUUCUGCUUUCCUUGGAUUUAUUCUGCUGUUCCUUCCAUGUUCUUAAGUUGUAUGCUUAGCGAAAUAAUUUUUAGCCUCUCUGAUUUUAUGCAUUUACAGGUACACAUUUCUUUGUAAACUACCUCUUUCAUUGUUUUGCAUAAGUUCGUACUCUUACUGUUGAAUUUUAAGUAAUUUUAUUUACUUAUUUAUUUAUUUAUUUAUUUACGGUACGCGGGCCUCUCACUAUUGUGGCCUCUCCCAUUGUGGAGCACAGGCUCCGGACGCGCAGGCUUAGCGGCCAUGGCUCAUGGGGCCAGCUGCUCCGCAGCAUGUGGGAUCUUCCCAGACCGGGGCACAAACCCGUGUCCCCUGCAUCAUCGGCAGGCGGACUGUCAACCACUGCGCCACCAGGGAAGCCCAAUUUUAUUUAUUUUUUGUCAAGAUUUCAUCUUUGACCCAGGGUUAUUGAAGAGUAUUUUAUCAUUUUUGAAUGUAUGAAGAUUUUUGGUUUAUUUUUAAAUUAUUGGCUUUUAAUUGGAUUGUGGUUAGAAAGUGUAAUCUGUAUGUUACCUAUUCUUUGAAAUGUGCUUAGAGUUGCUUUAUAGCCUUGUACAUACAUGGUCAUUUUUGUAAAUAUUUUGUGAAUUUGCUUAUGAAGAAUGUUUAUACCCUAAUUAUUAGAUGUAUCCUUCAAAGUAUGUCCAAUAAAUAAAACUUGCUCAUUGUU